rnacentral:rRNA from 1 species
ACGCUCGACACCUACGUGAGGCAGCAGUUGGGAAUAUUGGACAAUGGAGGAAACUCUGAUCCAGUGACGCCGCGUGAAGGAAGAAGGUCUUCGGAUUGUAAACUUAUUUUGUCAGGGAAGAAAAAUGACUGUACCUGAAGAAAAAGCACCGGCUAACUACGUGCCAGCAGGCCGCGGUAAUCUGAGGCGGGCUGGCAAGGC